UUUUGUUUGUUGGGACCGCACAGCGGCGGAGCAUGCGGAUUAAUUCGAUGCAACGCGAAGAACCUUACCAAGGCUUGAAUAUACAGAGCGGGCCAGAGAUGGUCAACUCUUUGGAGACUCGUAAACAGGUGGUGCAUGGUUGUCGUCAGCUCGUGUCGUGAGAGGUUGGGUUAAGUCCCGCAACGAGCGCAACUCUCGUUCUAUGUUGCCAGCACGUAAUGGUGGGAACUCAUGGGAUACUGCCGGGGUCAACUCGGAGGAAGGUGGGGAUGACGUCAAAUCAUCAUGCCCCUUAUGUCUUGGGCUUCACGCAUGCUACAAUGGCCGGUACAAAGGGCUGCAAUACCGCGAGGUGGAGCGAAUCCCAAAAAGCCGGUCCCAGUUCGGAUUGAGGUCUGCAACUCGACCUCAUGAAGUCGGAGUCGCUAGUAAUCGCAGAUCAGCAACGCUGCGGUGAAUACGUUCCCGGGUCUUGUCCCCCCCCCCCCCCUUCCA
rnacentral:rRNA from 1 species